rnacentral:rRNA from 1 species
GAUCAUGGCUCAGGAUGAACGCUAGCGACAGGCUUAACACAUGCAAGUCGAGGGGCAGCAUGAUUUGUAGCAAUACAGAUUGAUGGCGACCGGCGCACGGGUGAGUAACGCGUAUGCAACUUACCUAUCAGAGGGGGAUAGCCCGGCGAAAGUCGGAUUAAUACCCCCAUAAAAACAGGGGUCCCGCAUGGGAAUAUUUGUUAAAGAUUCAUCGCUGAUAGAUAGGCAUGCG